UACGGAGGGUGCAAACGUUGCUCGGAAUCAUUGGGCGUAAAGGGCGCGUAGGCGGAUGGUACAGUCAGAUGUGAAAUUCCUGGGCUUAACCUGGGGGCUGCAUUUGAUACGUGUUGUCUAGAGUGGGGGAAAGAGGGGUCGUGGAAAUUUCCCCAGUGUAGAGGUGAAAAUUCGUAGAUAUUGGGAAGAACACCCGGGUGGCGAAGGCGGCGACCUGGUCCUUGACUGACGCUGAGGCGCGAAAGCGUGGGGGAGCAAACAGG
rnacentral:rRNA from 1 species